GACGAACGCUGGCGGCGUGCUUAACACAUGCAAGUCGAACGGAAAAGCCCUGCUUUUGUGGGGUGCUCGAGUGGCGAACGGGUGAGUAACACGUGAGUAACCUGCCCUUGACUUUGGGAUAACUUCAGGAAACUGGGGCUAAUACCGGAUAGGAGCUCCUGCUGCAUGGUGGGGGUUGGAAAGUUUCGGCGGUUGGGGAUGGACUCGCGGCUUAUCAGCUUGUUGGUGGGGUAGUGGCUUACCAAGGCUUUGACGGGUAGCCGGCCUGAGAGGGUGACCGGCCACAUGGGGCCUGAGAGACGGCCCAGACUGCUACGGUAGGCAACAGUGGGGAAUAUUGCACAAUGGGCGGAAGCCUGAUGCAGCAACGCCGCGUUCGGGAUGACGUCCUUCGGGGUGUAAACCGCUUUCGCCUGUGACGAAGCGUGAGUGACGGUAAUGGGUGAAGAAGCACCGGCUAACUACGUG
rnacentral:rRNA from 1 species